GCCCAUACAGCUCUGAUAGCUCAGGCAGUACAGCAUGAAACUCUUAAUCUAAGGGUUGUGGUUUCGAGCCCCAUGAUAGGCA